GGGCACAUGGUGUAGUUGGUUAUCACAUCCGCUUAGCAGGUUCUGUUGUUGCGGGGGGUGCUGGGUUCAAUUCCCAGUGUGUCCA